rnacentral:rRNA from 1 species
GACGAACGCUGGCGGCGUGCCUAAUACAUGCAAGUUGAGCGCUGAAGGUUGGUACUUGUACCGACUGGAUGAGCAGCGAACGGGUGAGUAGCGCGUGGGGAAUCUGCCUUUGAGCGUGGGACAACAUUGGGAAACGAAUGCUAAUACCGCAUAAAAACUUUAAACACAAGGUUUAAGUUUGAAAGAUGCAAUUGCAUCACUCAAAGAUGAUCCCGCGUUGUAUUAGCUAGUUGGUGAGGUAAAGGGUCACCAAGGCGAUGAUACAUAGCCGACCUGAGAGGGUGAUCGGCCACAUUGGGACUGGGAACCGGCCCAAACUCCUACGGGAGGCAGCAGUAGGGAAUCUUCGGCAAUGGACGAAAGUCUGAACGAGCAACGCCGCGUGAGUGAAGAAGGUUUUCGGAUCGUAAAACUCUGUUGGUAGAGAAGAACGUUGGUGAGAGUGGAAAGCUCAUCAAGUGACGGUAACUACCCAGAAAGGGACGGCUAACUACGUG